AACUCGGAUGAAAAUACUUUCUACAUGAAAGUUGCUCAGAACGACGAUACGAAUCCGGAUACGCAGCCCGUUCGUUCACCACACACCCCUAACAUAUCGAACACGCAACUUUCCCCCUCCGAUUCAUCUCUCCGAAAACGCGAAAAACCGGGAAUACUUUCCCGGAUGUUUCCCCCCUUCGCCGGUAUCACCUGCUACCGUGAUUGGGCCCCCCUAACAACCCUCAUUGUCAUGUCAUGCAUCGUCAUGCAUAUGUUUGCAUUAUAUUUAUUGUUUCUUCCCCCUCUUCUCUCGCUAGACUCCGAUACCGACGCUGCUGCUGCCCAGUUCGACUACGGAGUUGACGACCCCUCCUACUUGCUCGAGCAAACAGGCAAGCCCCCCCUUGAUCACCAGAUAUCGCCUAUUCUUCUCUAUACUGCUUGCAUUAGAGUAGAGUAGCAUGUUACUGCUUUUCGUUAAUCCUAUCUUGAUGCAUAGCCUGUCCUUGCUACUACUGUUGUUACCCUUACCUGCUAUCCUAAUGCUUAGUAUAGGAUGCUAGUGUUCCAUCAGUGGCCCUACACUCUUGUCCGUCUGCCAUGCUAUACUACUGGGCCAUGCUAUACUAGUGUCCCGCGCACGCCGCCUGCCACAGAGGCUGCGCCGGCUCGCCGACCGGGGCCACCACCCCGGAGUCCGUGGUCCUUCGCAAGGGGAACGAAGCGACGAGAGGCCUCGCCGCCACCUUCAUCGGCGGCCGCCGCGGCUUGCCUGGCGUCCCUCAGGUGGCGGCUAGGGGAGGAGAUGCUGGAGGGGGUGGCGGCGCCGGGGGAAAACCUAGUCGCCCCCGGGUCGCCCGCGGGGGACGACACGGGAGCCGCGCGUGAGUUCCUUCGUGUAUAUUCUCUAGCUCACUAUAUUGUUUCCUAGCAGUAAGCUUUUGCUAGCUUCUUAGAUUUGAUCUGUAUGAAUACUUGAUUAGUUCAUUUUCAUUUAUAGCAUUGUAGAUGUUCGCCUCUGCUAGUCGAUUUCCAUAAUGGAACAUGCAGUUUAGGUGGGCCAAACAGCCGGUAAGCUUAAGAAUCGGUGGUAAGCUCUUGCAAGAACUUGCAAGCUUCUUGUGUUAAAUUUCAUUUAUGUGCCUGUAUUUGUUCUUGAAUCCUUGUUCUUUUUGUGUACUUUAUACGGAGGUUGCAGUAACUCACAGCACUACAGUUUUCUUUCCCUGUACUUUGUAACAUAUAGCUGUACAUAGUUACUAUUUUUUGCGUUUUGAUUAAAAUGAGAACAUAAUUCUUAUGAUCUAAAAUGUCCAUAUAAUGUAUCUCUUCUAGAUAGAAAGGUGUGCAGAAGGGAUUUGUACCAAUUGGUAGCAAUUGAACAGGAAGAUGCUUAGUAAGGAUAAAAUAGUAGAAGAGCACUAGAGGAUGCUUGAAGGAAUUGUAAAGGGGAAUGAGAAGUGUCGCAAAAGAAUCAAUUCCGCUGGCAUCGAUUACGAGUGUCCAGCCCCUGUAAGUAACACUUGAUGCUGUUCAUUGAUUUAAUAAAUUGAUCUUACUUCAUCAGAUUUGAAUUAGCUCAGCAAUUUGCCACAUAAUUGUAAUUGUAUUAAGAAAAUUUCAACUUUUUGUUGACCUGGAGCGAAAGGCAUGCAAUUGUAGUGCCCUAGAGCCAAAUUUGCCAUGUGUUACUGUGUAGGUCCUUGAUAUUUAUAGUACUGGUUGUUUAUUCUUAUCUACAUUUGCUUACUGAAAUAAUUUAUGUAUUGGCACCAAGGUUCGUCCCAGGCUUUGCUUAACCAUAUUUUGAGUUGUGCUUCAAUUGUUUUUCGUUUCAUGCCGUAUGCGGCAGUUACUCUCUGGAGAUAACUUGUACCGAAUAAAUAGUGCAUAAUUGAUCACUACAUUAGCUCCAUGUUCUCAUGUAAAAAUGCAGCUCCAUGACCCGCUUGAAAGAGAGGAGAAGGUUUGCCUCCCGUCCGUCUCAUCCCAUCCCCUUGUGCCAGCCAUGAAAGAGAGGAGGGAGAGCAGAAAGGAGCGUGGUGGCAAUGCGCCGAUGCUGGCCGGUUGAGGCAUGGUCGACGUGUCAGUCAAGGGGUCCCUGCAUUUGUGAUCUAUGAUGGUUGGCUCGCUGUGGCGGUCGGCGAUGGAAUAAUUGUGAGGGAGAGCACCCCUUUAGCGCCUCUCCGCAUAGUUCUUCCUUCCCCUACCGCCGGCCAACAGUUCGAGAUCCUUGUCCAAGGCCGGUGUGUACAGUUUCAGCCUCGUUCCCAUGGAUGGCAAAGUCUGCCUUGUCGUGAUGUGCAAGUACACACAUAGGCAUACCAGCAGAAUCGUUAUUGAUUUAUCCAUACAGUUUCAUGUAUAGAUUGACAUUUAUUUGGAGCAAGUGCUGUUGAUUUAUUUUAUUCAACGCCACGAGUGUUCAGUGUUGAUUUUGUGGGCAGGCGUUUUAGUGAGCUAGCAAGGGGGCGCAGUGGAUCUGUCAUCAUUUUGUUUAAAAUGGUUGAAAGAUGUUCAACGUUGGCUCUAUAUUUUCAAGGAUUUUGUCAGACUAUGAUGGGUGUACGACAAUUUUGGUCUUACUGAUUUCGUCCGGGAGACAAUCAGAUAAGACAGACACUUGACCCCCAACUAACCACAUCUAGCUUAGCUUCACUAGCCGCCAUUAACUAAUCACUCACUCAACUCAUAGCUUGGUGUCGUUCUGAAUGAUUCCAUAUCCGUUACGUAGAUUCAACUGGAUGCUCUUGCUUGAUCCCUAAAUUAUGUCCUACUCCUACUAAAUUAUUAGAAACUAUGUACUCGAUUCAUGGAAUCUGUCGAGAAAUGUAUGCACCUUUUCCUUGCAUAUUUAUACUAGGGGCAUCAUUUUGAAGUUAGUAUUCAUUUCGUGAUACACUACACAUUACCAUUCAUUCUGUGCUAGCAAAAUAUUUGUUUAUAUAGCUUGCUAUCAUCUAAUUUAAGAUUGAAUUUCCUCAAUGUAAAUUCUCAAAUAUGCGGGCAACAUGGACCUCAAGAUAGGUAAGCAAGAGAAGGACCAGUUCCUAAUCAUUCUGUUUGUUCUUCUUGGACUGUCGUUGUU